GUCGGCGCCAUUUUGUCUCGGCAGCGGUGGCCGUAGCUCCAUCGCAUUUUAUGUUUCUGGCGAGAAGGGAACGGAGUUUUCAUCAGGUAGAUUGGUUUUUGUGCGGCCGUCCUCCACCGUUUCCUCCAGGACAGCACCUAGUCGUGGCCGGAGGAGUCUCAGAGCUGUCAGAAAGAAUAAGACUGAUUUUAUGGGAAAAUUAAGCAGAUGCUCCAGUUUGAGAAACCUGGAUCUGCGAUCUGUUUGUGAGUGGUAUUCAGUUAAGAGAACAAUUAUUUCGUAUAAGCCACAUCAGAGACGACUGAAGAUGAAAAAACUACCAUCCCCGUAUAUAACUAAUUUGUGCUGUGCACCAACAAGAACCUGCUUUAAAUUUCCAUGGCAAUUUACAACCCCCAUACUGUACCAGGCAAGGUACCAGCAUCAAGAUGAUUUAUGGUAAUAAGAUAUAAAACCAAGGAAAAUAACCUAAAGUCUGAAAAAGACCAGAAUCGAAGUUUCCUGAUUCAUAUUUUAAUGUUUUGAAAUUUAUACUCCAGGCUGGGUGCAGUGGCUUGUGCCUGUAAUCCCAGCACUUUGGGAGGCCGAGGCGGCCGGAUUGCCUGAAGUCAGAAGUUCGAGACCAGCCUGACCAACAUGGUGAAACCCUGUCUCUACUUAAAAAUACAAAAGAGCUGGGCAUGGAGGUGGUGCGCGCCUGUAACCCUAGCUACUCGGGAGGCUGAGGCCUAAGAAUCUCUUGAACCCAGGAGGCAGAGGUUGUAGUGAGCCGGGAUCACGCCACUGCACUCUAGCCUGGGCGACAGAGAGAGAGACUGUCUAAAAAAGGAAAAGAAAAAAAUUUAUACGCCAAAAAAGAUAUUCUGAGAUAACCUGUAGUUACCACUAACUUUGUGACAAAAUUAUAAAAAUCCACAGCCAUCUAUGAAUCUGUAGGCAGACCUGAAGUUUGAACGACUGGUGAAGACAUCUGAUUUUCUUUAUAGCCAAGUUAGGAUAACAAAAUGCAAACAAGUCAUUAAUAUUUACUAUAUGCAAGAUACAGAAAGAUGAAGGAAGGAGUAAGAAGUUAUCCUUCGUGGAACUAUUCAAAGCAAAAAUGCAAAAUACCAGGGAAAGCUUUGAAGAACCAAGAUUUGAGCAGGUUCUUAGAAUAUAGAUUGGAUUGGAUUUGAUUUCAAGAAAGAUGAACGUGUAAAGCAGAAGUGGGAAGCCAAAAACUUUUUUCCAAAUUAGAAUUAAGCAUUCUUUCAAUGAACAUUUGGAAAUCAAGGUAGAAAAAUAUCCCUAGGGCCUAGCUGAGGAGUCUGUAUGUUGUUGGGUUUUGAUAGUAACCAGUCCAAGAUUUUGUUAUUAGACGUGGGUUUCUGAAUAGACAGGCAUUUCUGAACAGACAUGACAGGAUCAAAACAAUGUUUGAGCAAACUGCCCUUCAUCUACUGUGGAUAUGUUGGGGGAUGAUGGAAUAUAGUGAAAGAUAAUGGGUGCUCAUACAGCAGUCUAGACUUAAGGUGAUUCAACUACUAUAUAUUAAACUAGAUUAUCUUUUAUUUUUUAAUUUUGAAAUCUGGAUGCUCAAGCUCUGCCUGCACAACCACAUGAGGAAGAAGGAACAAUGACAACAAAAAUAACACUAAAUUUAAAUUUAAGAGUACUACUUUUAGGAAAUAGACAAACCAUUAUUUGGGUACAACUAAAGGCAACUGGCAUGGACUCAAAUAUUUUGGGGAAGAAAAAGACUAAAAGUUCUAAGGAAGAAAAUGCGAACCUUGAUAGUUUGAAAUAGUUAAAAAGACAGUGUAGAAACUGCUUAGGCAGUUUGAUUAUGGACUAUUAGAUGAUACUUGGGUCUGAUAAUGGUAUAAGGAGAAUAAAGUAUUUAGGGAUCCAAUAUUACGCCUGCAGCUUUUUCCAAAUAGUUCAUGGGGGAGGGGGAUGUGUAAGUGGUUAACUGAAGUCUAACUAGAUAGGUUUGUUGUAAGCUUAGGAUGUUUACAGUUCUUCAUGUUAAGUUGAGCGUGAUGGGAAGGGAAAGAAUGCUGAUCUUUAAAUUUUUGUCCUUAGUUAAGUUCUGUAUUUAGUGAAUUAAUUGCAUCCUAAAAAGUCAAACUUGAAAAGCACAUUUUAAAUGGCAAAUCUAUUUUUUACAUGUUUGUGAAGUUUUUAUUUUUUAGUAAACAGACCAUCAGAAGAGAACAAUGGUACAGAGCAGGGGUCAGCAGAUGGAUUUUGUAAAGCAUCAACUUGUAAAUAUUUUCAAGUUUAUUAGCUGUAUGGCUCUGGUUUCUGUUCCCUGUUCCAAAUGUUAAAGUCUACUGUUGUAUUCUAAAAGCAGCCAUGGACUGAAUGUAGCUGUGUUCCAAUAAAACUUACACAAAAGCAGGCAGUGGGCCAUAAUUUGCAACACCUGAUUCACAGCAUAAUUUUGUCACAAACUGAAAGUGUUCCUCAAUUAAAGUGAUUUUUUUUUCUUGA
rnacentral:lncRNA from 10 species